rnacentral:lncRNA from 1 species
GUCUCGUGAGCUGCAAUCGAAUAAAAGUCUUUUAAGAUCAACAUAUGAAAAGGAAAUAAGAUAUGGGGGAAGAACAUUAGAGAUUGCAUUCAACAAACAAACUUUGCCUUUGUUAAUUGUAUGCAAUUGUGUAAAAGUCAAGUUGACGGUUCCCCUUCCAAGCGUACCCUCUUGGGACAUUUCUCUUCACCUUGACUGCCAGUGUUCAUCACUCUGUUUUCUUUGGCUUCCACAGAACACCUUUUGUAAGGUUUAAAUCCAGUUCGGCCAGCUUUUAGUUUUGAAUGUCCUAAUCCAAUAGUCAGCAGGCCCUCUUCUGUACUGUUCUUGUCUCUUGAUAAUGCAUUUUUCACAGUUUCUUGAUGAUCAGAACAAGAACCCCAUGUAUUGCUGUUGAGAUCUAAAGUUGAUAUUUCUUCGUCUUCCUCAGCUGGAUUUUGCUUGUCUUCACCUAUAU